AUUCACAGUGUUGAGUUCACCCUGCUCUGUUAGUUAAACUUUGCAAUGCUGAAACUGGUUGGGGAAAAUGAUUGAAUAGAAAAUCUUACUCUAUUCAUUUAUUCCCCAGCCUACAAAA